UACGGAGGGUCCGAGCGUUAUCCGGAAUUAUUGGGUUUAAGGGUCCGUAGGCGGGCCGUUAAGUCAGGGGUGAAAGUCUGCGGCUCAACCGUAGAAAUGCCCUUGAUACUGGCGGUCUUGAGUUAUGGCGAAGUGGGCGGAAUAUGUAGUGUAGCGGUGAAAUGCAUAGAUAUUACAUAGGACACCGAUUGCGAAGGCAGCCCACUAGCCAUAUACUGACGCUGAUGGACGAAAGCGUGGGGAGCGAAAGGG
rnacentral:rRNA from 1 species